rnacentral:rRNA from 1 species
UUGAAGAGUUUGAUCAUGGCUCAGAUUGAACGCUGGCGGCAGGCCUAACACAUGCAAGUCGAACGGUAACAGGAAGCAGCUUGCUGCUUUGCUGACGAGUGGCGGACGGGUGAGUAAUGUCUGGGAAACUGCCUGAUGGAGGGGGAUAACUACUGGAAACGGUGGCUAAUACCGCAUAACGUCGCAAGACCAAAGAGGGGGACCUUCGGGCCUCUUGCCAUCAGAUGUGCCCAGAUGGGAUUAGCUUGUUGGUGAGGUAACGGCUCACCAAGGCGACGAUCCCUAGCUGGUCUGAGAGGAUGACCAGCCACACUGGAACUGAGACACGGUCCAGACUCCUACGGGAGGCAGCAGUGGGGAAUAUUGCACAAUGGGCGCAAGCCUGAUGCAGCCAUGCCGCGUGUAUGAAGAAGGCCUUCGGGUUGUAAAGUACUUUCAGCGGGGAGGAAGGUGUUGUGGUUAAUAACCGCAGCAAUUGACGUUACCCGCAGAAGAAGCACCGGCUAACUCCGUGCCAGCAGCCGCGGUAAUACGGAGGGUGCAAGCGUUAAUCGGAAUUACUGGGCGUAAAGCGCACGCAGGCGGUCUGUCAAGUCGGAUGUGAAAUCCCCGGGCUCAACCUGGGAACUGCAUUCGAAACUGGCAGGCUUGAGUCUUGUAGAGGGGGGUAGAAUUCCAGGUGUAGCGGUGAAAUGCGUAGAGAUCUGG